CUGAAAUUGGUGACGUUGAUGGGACAUUUACAAAAAAGGUUAUGUUCUGCUGUGACACUAUGCCGUCGGUGACUCUGCACAGGAAAGCUUAGUCUAAAGAAACCAGAUGAUGUGCUUCUUCUUCGCUUGAGAGAAAAUGUUUUACUGGUUCAGUCACAAGUUGUGGUUUUGCAUGCAUUUCAGCUGCUCGCAUUUUUCAUGAUGCUCUAUUCGGAC